AUUGAACGCUGGCGGCAGGCCUAACACAUGCAAGUCGAACGGUAACAGGAAGACGCUUGCUUCUUUGCUGACGAGUGGCGGACGGGUGAGUAAUGUCUGGGAAACUGCCUGAUGGAGGGGGAUAACUACUGGAAACGGUAGCUAAUACCGCAUAACGUCGCAAGACCAAAGAGGGGGACCUUCGGGCCUCUUGCCAUCGGAUGAGCCCAGAUGGGAUUAGCUAGUAGGUGGGGUAACGGCUCACCUAGGCGACGAUCCCUAGCUGGUCUGAGAGGAUGACCAGCAAAACGGGAACUGAGACACGGUCCAGACUCCUACGGGAGGAAGAAGUGGGGAAUAUUGCACAAUGGGCGCAAGCCUGAUGCAGCAAUGCCGCGUGUAUGAAGAAGGCCUUCGGGUUGUAAAGUACUUUCAGCGGGGAGGAAGGGAGUAAAGUUAAUACCUUUGCUAAUUGACGUUACCCGCAGAAGAAGCACCGGCUAACUCCGUG
rnacentral:rRNA from 1 species